GAUGAAGAACGCAGCGAAAUGCGAUAACUAGUGUGAAUUGCAGAUUUCAGUGAAUCAUCGAGUCUUUGAACGCACAUUGCGCCCCCUGGUAUUCCGGGGGGCAUGCCUGUCCGAGCGUCAUUGCUGCCCUCAAGCACGGCUUGUGUGUUGGGCCUCCGCCCCCCGGCUCCCGGGGGGCGGGCCCGAAAGGCAGCGGCGGCACCGCGUCCGGUCCUCGAGCGUAUGGGGCUUCGUCACCCGCUCCGUAGGCCCGGCCGGCGCCCGCCGGCGACCCCCCUCAAUCUUUCCAGGUUGACCUCGGAUCAGGUAGGGAUACCCGCUGAACUUAAGCAUAUCAAUAGCGGAGGA
rnacentral:misc_RNA from 1 species